CGCAAGAAACGGCAAGAUACCUGAAAGGGUAUUACGCAAAGCUUCCGGUCUAAGGGUAAUUACCUACGAUAGCGGGGCCACCUAA
rnacentral:ncRNA from 1 species